UACGUAGGUGGCAAGCGUUGUCCGGAUUUACUGGGCGUAAAGAGCGCGCAGGCGGUCGGAUAAGUCGAAUGUGAAAGCCCCCGGCUCAACUGGGGAGGGUCAUUCGAUACUGUUCGACUCGAAGGCAGGAGAGGGAAGUGGAAUUCCCGGUGUAGUGGUGAAAUGCGUAGAUAUCGGGAGGAACACCAGUGGCGAAGGCGCACACCUGGCCCGAUACUGACGCUGAGGCGCGAAAGCUAGGGGAGCAAACAGG
rnacentral:rRNA from 1 species